CCCUUAUUUGCUUCCUUUCUGCCAAACAACAAAAAUUUUCCAUCAGGACAGAAUUGUUGUUCUACCAAGAUUGCAGAUAUUUGUCUAAAAGGCAAACCUGACUUAGUCUAAAUUUACAGAAGGAUGAAAUCAGCCAAACUGCAAUCAAAUUGCCCUAUAUAGUGUAAUCCAUCUGGGAAAUAGAUAUACCUUUUGAUGUUGUAAUAAUAACUACAAGUUUCUUUCUUCUUUGCUUAUAGAUUGAACCUCAAAUGCUUCAAGUACAAUAAAGAGGUGUCCCCACCUACAGCACAAGCUCACAGCUCUGAUGCCUUAAACCAUUCAUUCUAGUGAACUUUACAGUGGAAAAAAACCCCAUACAGGACACCUAAUACGGAGACCCUCCAGCUGCUGUUGAACUACAUCCUUCAACAUUCCCCUGGCAGGUAAGAAUGAGAGGUUUGUUGAAUUUGAGACAGGAAAGGGUGGCCCAGUUGCCAGUUAAAUGGACGAGCAUGACGUCGAGCAGGAGGCCACGAAGCCCAGGAGGCUAUAGCCCACACAGCACGCAAGCCCUAGGCGCUCACCCACUGCGGCAGCUCCAGCACGUCCUGCUCGUCACAUGGCUUCCCGGCACCAAUGCAACCCUGCCGCCCAGCCACCCCACGAACACUGUAAGCACCUCUAGCACCCACACGGAAUCCUCUUACCAGUCUUUGUUUUCUGAUAACAUUUCCCUGGCAGCCGGCUGAAAGGAAAAGGGGGGAGGGAUGGGAGGAGGGAGGAACCUUUGGAGGUCGAAUGGAGUAGGUGAGAGGGAGAAAGGGAAAAGAAGCAGCGGGAAAAGGGGGAAGUAAAUGAAAGAGAGAAGAGCGAAGGCAGCCGCGGGUCUCUGGCCUGGUCUUCACGGUACUACCAAAUUUAGCUCGUUCUCCGGCAGGGGAGCUACACUCAAACAUGCUCGGCAGCCAUCUUGAUUAUUACCCAGCAGCCCCCAGUGCAGAGAGGAAGGUUCUCAGAGGCGGGCAGAGGGUGGGACGCGACUGUGAGCUGCUCUGGUUACAGAGCGUGGAAGCGGUUUCCGACCGGAUUGCUGAGCAAAGGUAAAGCACUGCUAUACACGCUGGCACGUCAGCCCACGCACAACCCCCUUGUAGUUCGGCUACAGCUGAGAAAGCUUGUAUUUGUCAUUUCUGCAUUCAUUCGUUUUCGCUUAUUACGAAAGCUGACUAUUGCUUCCGGGCCUCUGGAUCAAGCUGGACUACAACUCCCAGCAUGCUAUAGGCGCACACAGAAAUGUACAGAGAUUAUAAGAAAGAAAUGCUUACAUUUCUCUUUCAAUACUGUAUGUAAUAGAAGCGGUUGCAUGUACCGUAAUAUAGUGGUGGGGCAACGUCUAUGCAGGGAUUACAAAGGCCCAGUAGCUAAGUGUUCCAAUAGAACAAUGGAGGGUGUUGAAUGGAGCAGUACAAUCCCUGCAGGGGAGUCCAGGUCUGCAAACAGCUGGGCAAACUUAGUACGCAAGCAGCAUUUCACAACACUGAACGUAGAUACCUAACUGGUUGCUAAGGGUUACUGCUCUGAGGCAUUUUUGCACAGCGACCCUGUCACACGUUGCAUUUUGUCCAAUACAAUACACCUCUCUGCACACUAUGUGGGUGCCUUGGCAGGGUUGUAUCUGUCUGCCAGUAUCACACACUUUUGGUGACAAGAGUCAGUGGGGAACUAAAUUGACAUGGUAAAGGAGACUUGCUGAUCCUUUAUGCAGUUUGUGGGAUCUACUGUACAUAAUAUGCAGUGUUCUGCCCCACAUCAAGGGUUGAAGAAUCAUUACUACUUCAACAAGCUAGAAUCUGUAUAGCUAGUUACGUAACAGCGCCAUCUAGCGGCAGUAGAAAUCCACUGCAACCUAUGUUUCUUACAUUUGUAUAAAUAAAGUUCUUAAUUAUGCAACUACAGUGCAUUGUGGGUGGCUAGUGCAUUCUGGGAAGGAGAAGGGAGCCACCAUACUGUUUACAGCACAUUUGCAUAGCUCUCCUAGCAUUCCUGCUUCUUAAAUCUCCACUACCCCACAGCCAGCAUAUCUGGUAAGAAUUAUACAAGUCUCAGGAUAGUCUGUUCUUUAGUGAUGUUUUUAUAGUUCUAAUCUGCACUUAGUAGUUGUUACUCUAGUAGAUAGCCAGUCAUGCGGCCUUAUAGGUUGUCAGCCAUCUUCAACAUGUGCUUGUGCUAUGUAAUAUGUUCAGACAUGCUGAUUUAGAAUGAAUGCUGCUGUAUAUGUUAUUCAUAUGUUUUUGCUAUAUACUUAUACAAACCAUUUGUAUCUUUAUAGUUUUACCACAUGAACAUGCAUCGACACACAUACAUCGAUGCUCCUGUUUACUAAUUGCAACUGACCACUUACAGUCAAACAACCUGUUAUCAAUAAACAAGUUAGAUUACAAGACGGUCUGCUUAUUUGGAAGACAGGGAUGGUUAAGCUGAAUGUUGGAUUGCACACUGUGAGAACGUGUAUGAAGGCAGAACAGUAAAACAGAUGCUGGUCAGCAACGAUAGUGGAUGUGACCAAACGGAGCUGCCAUCACACACGCGGUUCUGCGUAUACGAUUGCAGCGUCUGCCACACGGUCAGUGACAAGAAGUGAGAGUGCAGCUCAACACGAUCCAGACCACGCUGAAGCCCGGUCCUAUAUAGACUGAGUCCACAAAGAGACAUUAAGCGGCCGGCAGAACAGGCACAAUGUCUGUUAGCCGAGCAUCAUCAUACAAAACCAGAUCACGAGCAAGCUGCUCUAGCAAAUCCUCCAUAAAAGAAAUGGCUGCUCUCGCACGUGCAGAAGCUGAAGCUGCAAAAGUAAAGUCUUCCUUCGCUGCACAAGAGAUGCAACUAAAGAAAGAGAGGGCAUCAUUAGAAAAGGAACGAGUAGAUCUGCAAGCGUCGCUAGAAAGACUAGCCGCAGAGAAGGAAGCGGCAGCCGCAAUAGCCAAAGCAGAAUACCUGGAAGCCCUGGAGUUUUCCGGAUCUGAGAAACACAGCCGAGUACUUGGGCCAGACCUAGAUGAACAAGAUCCAGCCCAGCGUGUCUCAGAAUACGUCCACCAACACCCCAAGACAGAGGGCAACUAUGAGCCAGGACAUCAGCCAGCUUAUAAAGAGUGCCAAAGAUCCUACCUUGAACCACAGUACCUUAGGCAGGACGAUAUGCGACCAAACGAUGCUGACAACUACCGCCCUAUGGAGCAGAGACUACCACCUUUGCCCCGAAUUAAAGGGACACCUUUUGCAUCAGAACGGCAUUAUACUGACUGCUCUAAGCCAGAAGCUCUUAAGAGGUAUGGUAAUACACCACACGUGCAGCAUAACAGCACACCGGAUUGUACUAAUGCUAACUGGGCCAUCAUGGACUUUGCUAAGUUCUAUGCUAAACGGGAGCUGGUUACCAAGGGACUUACAAAGUUCACCGAUCAGGCUGAGAACUACAGGUCAUGGCGAGCCUCCUUCCAAAACGCCAUAAGAGACUUAGACCUUUCCCAUCAGGAAGAGUUAGACCUCCUGGUAAAGUGGCUUGGAAGCGAGUCAGUUGAACACGCCAAAAGAAUCAGAGACAUUAACAUAAACUAUCCUGACAGAGGCCUAAAGAUGGUGUGGGAAAGACUUGAUGAGUGUUACGGGUCCAUAGAAGCCAUUGAAAAUGCUUUGUUCAAAAGGAUUGAUAACUUUCCCAGAAUAGUGGGUAGGGGUUACCAGAAGCUCAGAGAGCUCAGUGACUUGUUAAGAGAGGUACAGGUUGCUCAAGAAGAAGGAGAUCUACCAGGGCUAGCUUUCCUAGACACCGCCAGAGGGGUCAAUCCUAUUGUUCAAAAACUCCCUCAUAACCUACAAGAGAAGUGGGUCACACAUGGUUCUACUUAUAAACGGGUUCAUAAUGUACCAUUUCCCCCCUUCGAGGUGUUUGUAAACUUUGUCAGUGAACAGGCAAGAAUCAGAAAUGAUCCCAGUUUUGAUCUCACAAUGUCAUGCCCCACUACCCCUGGUGUCAGACCUCAUAAAACACCAGUGGCAGUCCAUAAAACUAACAUUGCCUCCACAGGUUCUCCAUACAAGCCGUCUAAGUCUUCUCAAGAAGGGAACGGACACAGAGAUCUUAACAAAGAAUGCCCCCUGCACAAGAAACCACAUUCUUUACUAAAAUGCAGAGCCUUCAGAGAAAAGACUUUAGAAGACCGGAAAGAGUUCCUCAAAGACAACAACAUCUGCUUCAGGUGCUGCACUACAACAUCGCACUUUGCCAGGAACUGUGAGGUCAGUGUGUCAUGCUCAGAAUGUGGUAGCACAGAACACAAUACGGCUUUACACCCUGGACCACCCUCUCAGGCAGUGCACCAAACAGAGGAUCAUGAAAAGAAGCAGAUAGACACUAACAAAACCAAUACAGUAGUCACUUCUCAGUGUACCGAAAUCUGUAAAGGAGUGGUAGGAGGAAAGUCCUGCUCGAAAAUCUGCCUUGUCAGAGUUUACCCGGCCAGUCACAGAGAUAAGGCGAUCAAGGCAUACGCAAUCUUAGACGAUCAAAGCAACCGGUCUUUAGCAAAAUCCACCUUUUUUGACACCUUCAACAUCAUAGGACCUGGUUCUCCCUACUCCUUAAGGACAUGUGCAGGUACAGUGGAGACGGCGGGGAGGAAGGCAACGGGAUACAAGGUAGAGUCCAUAGACGGGCAGACCUGCUUGUCACUGCCAACCAUACUGGAGUGCAACCAAAUUCCUGACAACCGUUCUGAGAUACCUACACCAGAAGUAGCAGCAUACCACCCCCACCUGAAGCGUAUAGCUCACCAGAUACCAGAACUGGAUCCAGAAGCACCAAUAGCCUUACUCCUAGGAAGAGACAUACUACGUGUUCACAAGGCUAGAGGACAGAUUAACGGUUCCCAAAACGCUCCAUACGCCCAGAGACUUGACCUAGGGUGGGUCAUCAUAGGAGACGUCUGUCUAGGAGGAGCACACAAGCCGAUCUCUGUCAACAGCAUGCUCACCAACACACUUGAAAGUAGACGUCCUUCCUUAUUCCAACCAUGUCAGAACAGUUUCCUGAUAAAAGAAUUGCCUCAUAGAGAUCCUGUCCCUUGUCCCUUCAUGGAUCCUUCCAGCGAAGACCACGCCUGUGAUGGUGAACGAGAUCACUUAGGGUGUACAGUUUUCCAUAGGUCAAGAGAAGACAACAAGGUCGCAAUGUCCAUAGAAGACAGACUGUUCUUGGAGAUCAUGAAUCAAGGAAUGACAAAGGACAAGUCAAAAAGCUGGGUCGCGCCUUUACCAUUUAGACUCAAGAGACAACGCUUACCUGACAACAAAGAACUUGUCUAUAACAGAUUUAUCUCCCUCAAGCACAAACUUCAGAAGACACCAGAGAUGAAAGAACAUUUCUUUACCUUCAUGGAAAGAAUAUUCCAGAACAACCACGCAGAAAUGGCACCCGCGCUCCGAGACUCAGAGGAGCGUUGGUACUUACCCACAUUCGGCGUAUAUCAUCCUAAAAAGCCAGGCCAGAUACGAGUAGUGUUCGACUCAAGUGCCAGGUGCAAAGGCUUAUCACUAAACGAUGUCUUACUGUCUGGUCCAGACCUCAACAACCGACUUCUAGAGGUACUUCUGCGUUUCCGUAAAGAUUCCAUAGCAUUCAUGGCCGACAUACAACAGAUGUUCCACUGCUUCCUUGUCAAGGAGGAACACAGAAAUUACUUGAGGUUCUUCUGGUACCGCAACAAUGACCCUAACGAAGACAUCGUAGAGUACCGAAUGAGGGUGCACAUCUUCGGAAACAGCCCUUCACCUGCAGUCGCUAUCUAUGGUCUCAGACUUUCAGCUCAAGAGGGUGAAGCGAAGUAUGGGUCAGAUGCCAGAUCCUUUGUAGAGAAAGAUUUCUAUGUGGACGACUGCUUGAAAUCCACACCCACGAAUGAGUCGGCAAUCAGUCUCUUAAAAAGGACUCAAGAGAUGCUAGCUUUGUCUAAUCUGAGGUUACACAAAAUUGCCUCCAACAGCCGUGAGUUAAUGGAAGCCUUCUCAAACCAAGACCAUGCAAGCGACCUUAAGGACUUGGAUCUUGACACCGAUUCCCUUCCCAUGCAACGGAGUCUCGGUUUGCUCUGGGAUUUGAAGGCAGACACCUUUACCUUCCAGAUCAACAAAGAAGAAAAGCCCUUCACACGCAGAGGAGUUCUAUCUACAAUAAACAGCUUGUACGAUCCUCUGGGAUUUGUAACACCUGUCACCAUCCAAGGCAAAAUUAUGUUAAGAGACCUCACCACAGAGAUGUCCGAUUGGGAUGAUCCGCUUCCCACAGAGAAAAAGGACCUGUGGACAAGUUGGAAAAAGUCUCUUGAAGCUUUGACCAGCCUUCAUGUGACACGACCCUAUGCUUCCAUACCAUCUACAGAAGUCAAGAUGCAAAAGCUACAUAUCUUCUGCGAUGCUUCAAUCAAGGCAAUUGCUGCUGUAGCAUACCUGAAGACCAUUGAUGCCAAAGAACAAUGCCAUGUAGGGUUCGUCAUGAGUCGGGCCAAACUGACACCUCUCCGUGAACACACGAUACCCAGACUGGAGCUCUGCGCUGCUGUGCUUGCGGUAGAGUUGGCUGAACUUAUAACUUCAGGAAUGGGCCUAGAAAUCGAAGAAGUCGAAUUCCACACGGACAGCAAGGUAGUCCUAGGAUAUAUCUGCAACGAAAUUAGACGCUUUUAUGUCUAUGUCUCCAAUCGAGUGCUGAGGAUCAGGAGAUCCACUAGUCCUCAACAGUGGCACUAUGUGCCUACACAACAUAAUCCCGCAGACUACGCAACCAGAUCCGUCGCAGCCUGCCACCUGAAAGCCACAACAUGGUUCACAGGUCCUGCGUUCCUGUACCGUUCAACGGCUUGCAACAUCGGAUGUGACACAUUUGAAUUGAUAGACCCAGACGCAGAUGAGGAGAUCCGACCUGAAGUGUCUGUUCUUAACACAGUGACUUCAGAUCGUCAACUCGAAUCCCAUCGUUUCAGCAGGUUCUCCACCUGGAUGUCUCUGGUCCGUGCGAUAGCCAUCUUGAUUCAUAUAGCUAAGUCCUACACAUCUACAUUACCUGUGAGUCAGAAACCUUGUAAAGGUUGGCAUCACUGCAAGAGCGCCUUUACAGCUUCCAAUCUGGAGAGGUCCAAGGACAUAAUAAUCCACACAAUUCAACAUGAAUGUUACACUAAGGAGAUAGAAUACCUCAGGAAAGGCCAAACAGUCUCUAAAGACAGCGCUUUGAGAAGACUUGAUCCCGUCAUUGACCAAGGUGGGUUGAUGAGAAUAGGAGGCCGCCUUCAGGAAGCCAAAGUAGACUUCAGAGAAAAACACCCUAUAGUAAUUCCGGGACAUCACCAUGUCGCGACCCUACUCAUACGACAUCACCAUCUUCAAACAAAACACCAAGGCCGAAUGUUUACCGAAGGGAAUCUACGAGCCGCUGGACUAUGGAUUGUUGGAGCGAAGAGACGUGUAAGCCAGGUCAUUUUCAACUGCAUUACCUGUCGCAAACUUCGUGGUGGGUCUCAGAACCCAAAAAUGGCCAGUCUCCCAGCUGAAAGACUCAGCACAGAUCCUCCCUUCACUAACGUUGGCUUAGACGUAUUCGGCCCUUGGUCAGUGGCUACCAGGCACACAAGAGGUGUUCACACCGGUGCAAAGCGUUGGGCAGUCAUGUUUACUUGCAUGUCCAGUAGGGCAGUCCAUAUAGAAGUGAUCGAAUCUAUGGAUGCUUCCAGCUUCAUAAAUGCAUUCCGACGGUUUAUCGCCAUUAGAGGACCUGUGAAAUGUAUUCGUUCAGAUAGAGGCACAAAUUUCGUUGGAGCAGUAAAAGAACUCCAAAUUCCUUCCAAUUUGGAUACGGCCAAGGUGGACAGAUACCUAAAUGAGCAAGGAUGCACAUGGACCUUUAAUCCACCGCAUUCCUCCCACAUGGGCGGCGUCUGGGAAAGGAUGAUAGGGAUAGCAAGGAAAAUCUUGGAUUCCAUCUUCUCGCAGGUAGGGAGUACGAGACUCACACACGAAAGUCUGGUCACAUUCUUGGCAGAAGUCUCAGCCAUCAUGAACGCAAGACCGUUGACUACCCUUUCCAGUGACCCUGAAGAUUUGACGAUCCUUACCCCUGCCAUGUUACUCACACAGAAGACCAGCACCCUGAGUGCUCCAUCUGGAGAAUUUACCGAAAAAGACCUGUAUAGACGUCAAUGGAGGCAGGUGCAAAGUCUUUCUAAUGUCUUCUGGGACAAAUGGAGAAAAGAGUAUGUCUCUACCUUGCAGUCGAGAAGGAAGUGGCAAACUAACAAGCCGAACAUCAGACCUGGGGAUGUCGUGCUCAUGAAAGACCACCAAUCACAUCGGAACGAGUGGCCACUGGGCCUCAUCACCAACACGUUUCCAAGCAAGGAUGGGAAUGUACGUAAGGCCGAGGUCAAAAUUUGUAAGCUUGGCGAGUGCAAACUAUUCCUCAGACCAACAACAGAGCUCGUGUUGUUGUUUUCACCUGAGAAGACAAAUAGUGACGUCCGUUGACGCCAGACGGGGAGUGUUCUGCCCCACAUCAAGGGUUGAAGAAUCAUUACUACUUCAACAAGCUAGAAUCUGUAUAGCUAGUUACGUAACAGCGCCAUCUAGCGGCAGUAGAAAUCCACUGCAACCUAUGUUUCUUACAUUUGUAUAAAUAAAGUUCUUAAUUAUGCAACUACAGUGCAUUGUGGGUGGCUAGUGCAUUCUGGGAAGGAGAAGGGAGCCACCAUACUGUUUACAGCACAUUUGCAUAGCUCUCCUAGCAUUCCUGCUUCUUAAAUCUCCACUACCCCACAGCCAGCAUAUCUGUUUUACCACAUGAACAUGCAUCGACACACAUACAUCGAUGCUCCUGUUUACUAAUUGCAACUGACCACUUACAGUCAAACAACCUGUUAUCAAUAAACAAGUUAGAUUA